rnacentral:misc_RNA from 1 species
GUAGGUGAACCUGCGGAAGGAUCAUUAUUACGUAUCCAACGUAUAAACCAAUCGUGAACUGUUUCCGCCAUAGGAAUCGAGUCAAUGGCCUCUCUGCAAUAUGUUCAUUGUUAGUGAUGGUAGCUGUGCUUGCACAGUUUUCCAGGAACUGCAGUUAGGUCUUCUGUCCAAAUUUAUUUUGACAGAGACUCCUUCCUUUUGGUCGGUCUUUAACACUAACAAAUAUUCAUUAACCAUUUGUACAACAAUU